CUUCCUUCCUAGCAGUUGAGAGUUCAUUAUCAGCAGGAGGAUAAUUCAUUAUCAGGCACAAUAGAAGGAAGGAGAGAGAGGGGGAGAAGGAAGGAUAGAGAGAGAAUGAAAGAGAGAAAAGAGAGAAAAGAGAGAGGCACAGGGAGAAGUAGGGAGAGACAACAGUAGAGGAAAGGGGGCCGAAAUAGAAAGAUGGGGUGAUGAUGACAGAGGUGGCCGAGAACGUGGGUCAGAGGCUACAGUCAUGCUUGACCUGGAACCUCCUUCUUCCCCUGAAGGCUUUGAAAGGAGGGGGUAGGGUAGUUAUAGGCUGUCGGGUAGCUUCUCUCACACCAUCUGUCCUCUGCUGCAGAGUUCCUAUUUAAGCCCCAUUUCUCUCCCUUAAAGUCUCUACUGUAUCUGUGUCUGUGGAUGGUAAAGUCUCUACUGUAUCUGUGUCUGUGGAUGUUAAAGUCUCUACUGUAUCUGUGUCUGUGGAUGGUAAAGUCUCUACUGUAUCUGUGUCUGUGGAUGGUA
rnacentral:lncRNA from 1 species